rnacentral:rRNA from 1 species
UUGGCGGCGUGGAUUAGGCAUGCAAGUCGAGCGAGAAGUUUCCCUUCGGGGAAGCGGACAGCGGCAAACGGGGUAGUAAUACGUAGGUGACGUACCUUGAGGACGGGGAUAGCCACGGGAAACUGUGGGUAAUACCCGAUGAUCUCUGCGGAAUUUGAUGCUGCAGAGCAAACGGUGAGAUUCCUCCUUGAGAGCGGCUUACGCGAUAUUAGCUUGUUGGUGAGGUAACGGCUCACCAAGGCGAUGAUGUCUAGGGGGUGUGAGAGCAUGGCCCCCACCACUGGGACUGAGACACUGCCCAGACACCUACGGGUGGCUGCAGUCGAGAAUCUUCGGCAAUGGACGCAAGUCUGACCGAGCGACGCCGCGUGCGGGAUGAAGGCCCUUGGGUUGUAAACCGCUGUCAGAGGGGAUGAAAUCACUUAGGGCAAUCCCUUUGUGUUGACAGAGCCUCAGAGGAAGCACGGGCUAAGUACGUGCCAGCAGCCGCGGUAACACGUACUGUGCGAACGUUAUUCGGAAUCACUGGGCUUAAAGGGUGCGUAGGCGGCCAGUUAAGUAGGGUGUGAAAUCCCUCGGCUCAACCGAGGAAUUGCGCUCU